rnacentral:rRNA from 1 species
GAUGAACGCUGGCGGCGUGCCUAAUACAUGCCAGUCGAGCGAACAGACGAGGAGCUUGCUCCUCUGACGUUAGCGGCGGACGGGUGAGUAACGCGUGGAUAACCUACCUAUAAGACUGGGAUAACUUCGGGAAACCGGAGCUAAUACCGGAUAAUAUAUUGAACCGCAUGGUUCAAUAGUGAAAGACGGUUUUGCUGUCACUUAUAGAUGGAUCCGCGCCGCAUUAGCUAGUUGGUAAGGUAACGGCUUACCAAGGCAACGAUGCGUAGCCGACCUGAGAGGGUGAUCGGCCACACUGGAACUGAGACACGGUCCAGACUCCUACGGGAGGCAGCAGUAGGGAAUCUUCCGCAAUGGGCGAAAGCUUGACGGAGCAACGCCGCGUGAGUGAUGAAGGUCUUCGGAUCGUAAAACUCUGUUAUUAGGGAAGAACAAAUGUGUAAGUAACUAUGCACGUCUUGACGGUACCUAAUCAGAAAGCCACGGCUAACUACGUG